rnacentral:tRNA from 1 species
GCCGGUGUGGCGGAAUGGCAGACGCACCGCACUCAAAAUGCGGCGGUUUAUCCGUGCCGGUUCAAGUCCGGCCACCGGCACCA